rnacentral:rRNA from 1 species
GACGAACGCUGGCGGCGUGCCUAAUACAUGCAAGUUGAGCGCUGAAGGUUGGUACUUGUACCAACUGGAUGAGCAGCGAACGGGUGAGUAACGCGUGUGGAAUCUGCCUUUGAGCGGGGGACAACAUUUGGAAACGAAUGCUAAUACCGCAUAAAAACUUUAAACACAAGUUUUAAGUUUGAAAGAUGCAAUUGCAUCACUCAAAGAUGAUCCCGCGUUGUAUUAGCUAGUUGGUGAGGUAAAGGCUCACCAAGGCGAUGAUACAUAGCCGACCUGAGAGGGUGAUCGGCCACAUUGGGACUGAGACACGGCCCAAACUCCUACGGGAGGCAGCAGUAGGGAAUCUUCGGCAAUGGACGAAAGUCUGACCGAGCAACGCCGCGUGAGUGAAGAAGGUUUUCGGAUCGUAAAACUCUGUUGGUAGAGAAGAACGUUGGUGAGAGUGGAAAGCUCAUCAAGUGACGGUAACUACCCAGAAAGGGACGGCUAACUACGUG